rnacentral:rRNA from 1 species
GAUGAACGCUAGCGGGAGGCCUAACACAUGCAAGCCGAGCGGUAUUUGUUCUUCGGAACAGAGAGAGCGGCGCACGGGUGCGGAACACGUGUGCAACCUGCCUUUAUCUGGGGGAUAGCCUUUCGAAAGGAAGAUUAAUACCCCAUAAUAUAUUGAGUGGCAUCCUUUGAUAUUGAAAACUCCGGUGGAUAGAGAUGGGCACGCGCAAGAUUAGAUAGUUGGUGAGGUAACGGCUCACCAAGUCAAUGAUCUUUAGGGGGCCUGAGAGGGUGAUCCACCACACUGGUACUGAGACACGGACCAGACUCCUACGGGAGGCAGCAGUGAGGAAUAUUGGACAAUGGGUUAGCGCCUGAUCCAGCCAUCCCGCGUGAAGGACGACGGCCCUAUGGGUUGUAAACUUCUUUUGUAUAGGGAUAAACCUACUCUCGUGAGAGUAGCUGAAGGUACUAUACGAAUAAGCACCGGCUAACUCCGUG